rnacentral:rRNA from 1 species
UACGGAGGGGGCUAGCGUUGUUCGGAAUUACUGGGCGUAAAGCGCGCGUAGGCGGCUUUGUAAGUUAGAGGUGAAAGCCCGGAGCUCAACUCCGGAACUGCCUUUAAGACUGCAUCGCUAGAACGAUGGAGAGGUAAGUGGAAUUCCGAGUGUAGAGGUGAAAUUCGUAGAUAUUCGCAAGAACACCAGUGGCGAAGGCGGGUCUCUGGGCCGUAACUGACGCUGAGGAGCGAAAGCAUGGGGAGCGAACAGG